AAUUUUGAGAAUAAAAAUCUUAAGUGCACAAACAACGGCAAGCGCCGUAAUAUACAAAGUUCUAUUGCCGGACACUUGACUGCAAGAUGUAAUAUUAUAGAAGCCCUAUGCCAAUAUUAUUGUUGUAUAAAAUAUAUACUUAUCCAUCAUUACUCAUUAAGUAUUCAUAAGAUUGUAAUUUUUCCAAAAUAAAAUUGUUGUGAAUUUGAAAACCAAGAUCUUGCACAAUUCAAUUCACAUCCUCAUACGCUGAUGGUUCCGAAUUUGUGCAUUCGACCUAGUGUAUGAUAAAAUUAUAAUGAUGAAAAUUAAAAAAUAGCAGUUGACUUGACUCGGCGUUGUUUUUAGAAAAAUCAAGUUGUAUGGUGAAAAUUUUAAAUAAUAUUAUAUUGUUAUAAGUUAUAACUAUAUGAGACAAGAAGGAACAAUGUAUUCCCGUAUUUUACAUUAUUUUGGUAAUUUCAACUUCCUAGUUAUAAAAUUAAAAAUCAAUCACUAAGGUGGAUGCUGGAUAACAUUUUAAAAUAAAUAUUCAAAGAUUAUCAAAUGCAUUUGCGCAUUAAGAUCAGUGGCUUUGUCCUGUAACCUGUUGCAGAACAGUUAUUUAAGUCAAUUAACAGGACUAGAAAAAAAAUUAUAUAUUCAUACUAUACAAUAGUAGGUACCAACCAUGCAUUAUUUCAAAAUGUAUAAUAUACUAGUAUAGACCAUGUAAGAUAGGUGAUAUAAUAGAAUUGGUAUGGUUUGCCACUUUUUGGGCCUUCCAGAACACUGUUAAAGAUUAAAACUAUUACCAUUCAUUUUAUAAUCAAUACCAUUACCUAUAAGUAUACAAUUAGCUGAAAUACCAAGUCAAAAACACAACACGAGUCAGUUUUUGGUAGAGUGAAAUGUCAGUGCAAGUUUAAUAUCAAUAUUGAGCCUUCACUAUGUAUUUGAUGACAGAAUCUAAAUAAAACAUAAUAUUUUUGUAACAAACUUAAAAAAUAAUUCCCAAAUUUGUUUUAAAAUUUUUAACCUAUAGAGUAGGGCAAAAUAAAUAACAAAACAUUUAAUUUGUUCUAUACUAACAUUAAUUAUAUUACCUAUAUUUAUAAAAUACAGAUACAUUAAUAUGUCAUUCAUAUUACUUACACUUAUUAAGCUAAUUAUAAAAUAAAAGCAUACCCUGU